rnacentral:lncRNA from 1 species
GCCCUUUCAUCUCCAGCGCUGGGCCCUUUCAUCUCCAGCACUGGGCCUUUACAUCUCCAGCGCUGGACCUUUACUUGUCCAGCACUGGGCCUUUACAUCUCCAGUGCUGGGCCCUUACAUCUCCAGAGCUGGGCCCUUUCAUCUCCAGCGCUGGGCCCUUUCAUCUCCAGCGCCGGGCCCUUAACAUCUCCAGCGCCGGGCCCUUUCAUCUCCAGCGCCGGGCCCUUACAUCUCCAGCGCCGGGCCCUUAACAUCUCCAGCGCCGGGCUCUUUCAUCUCCAGCGCCGGGCCCUUACAUCUCCAGCGCCGGGCCCUUACAUCUCCAGCGCCGGGCCCUUUCAUCUCCAGCGCCGGGCCCUUUCAUCUCCAGCGCCGGGCCCUUAACAUCUCCAGCGCCGGGCCCUUUCAUCUCCAGCGCCGGGCCCUUAACAUCUCCAGCGCCGGGCCCUUAACAUCUCCAGCGCCGGGCCCUUAACAUCUCCAGCGCCGGGCCCUUAACAUCUCCAGCGCCGGGCCCUUUCAUCUCCAGCGCCGGGCCUUUACAUCUCCAGCGCCGGGCCUUUACAUCUCCAGAGCUGGGCCUUUACAUCUCCAGGGCUGGGCCCUUAAAUCUCCAGCACUGGGCCUUUAUAUCUCCAGCGCUGGGCCCUUCACAACUCCAGCGCUGGGCCCUUCACAUCUCCAGCGCUGGGCCCUUCACGUCUCCAGCGCUGGGUCCUUCACAUCUCCAGCACUGGGCCUUCACAUCUCCAGGGCUGGGCCCUUAAAUCUCCAGCACUGGGCCUUUAUAUCUCCAGCAGCAAUAUAAAGCCGAGGACCCAGCAAGUGUUCACCUCUGGAGAAUUUGAUGAAUUCUAUGCAUCUGAAAGGCCUCCGAUGCUUAAGACCUUUUUUUUCUUUUCAAGUCUCGAACAUUUAUUGAACACGUAUAUGUGCCAAGCGCUAUUCUCAAACUGCCCCAUGAGGAAUGGACCACAGAGCUCCAUUUUACAGAUGAAAGAAACCAAGGCUUCAAAAGGAAGCUACACUGAAGCAGAAAGAACUAGUGGUACCCCUGGAAGCCACACCUGCUCUUCCUAUGCUCCAGGGCUCUGUGCCAUUCCUGCAGCUUGAGCCAGGAGGAAUGUUUGCAAGGAUACCAGCCAUUUUGCCAAUGUGCACAGUUUUUCUUUAGUCAUUACUGGAGGAGACUGACUUUCUUCUGUUUCAAAUAUCUAAAGAUCACUUUCAGAGCAAACUGAGAGUAAACUAACUGGAUGGGCUAAUCCUACCUUGGAUCCUCCUCUGCCAUUUCAUUGUUAGAAUCAAUUUCUGCAGGAGUAUUUCACAUAUUUUACUGUCAGUGUCUCUGCAAACCCAACACAUUAUGGAGGAGAGAGCAAGCCUCUGAAGCCAGACACACCUGAGAUUAAAUCCUGGUUCUGCCAUUUUAUUAGCCAUGUGACUUUAAAAGGUUACUUAAUCUCUCAGGGCCUUGAUUUCCUCAUCUGUAAAAUUGGAAGCCACAUUCUCUAAAAGGACCAGCAAGCAACAAUUUUAAAGAAAGGAGAGGCCAGGCACGGUGGCUCACGCCUGUAAUCCCAGC